rnacentral:rRNA from 1 species
UACGUAGGGGCCUAGCGUUGUCCGGAUUUAUUGGGCGUAAAGAGCUCGUAGGCGGUUCGGCAAGUCGGAUGUGAAAUCUCCACGCUUAACGUGGAGGGGCCAUUCGAAACUGCCGUGACUCGAGUCCGGUAGGGGAGUGUGGAAUUCCCGGUGUAGCGGUGAAAUGCGCAGAUAUCAGGAGGAACACCAAUGGCGAAGGCAGCUCGCUGGAACGGAACUGACGCUGAGACGCGAAAGCGUGGGGAGCGAACAGG